rnacentral:rRNA from 1 species
UACGUAGGGGGCGAGCGUUGUCCGGAGUUACUGGGCGUAAAGGGCGUGCAGGCGGUCCGGUAAGUUUGGAGUGACAGUGCUCGGCUUAACUGAGCAAGGUCUUCAAAAACUGUUGGACUUGAGGACUUCAGAGGGACAUAGAAUUCCGGGUGGAGUGGUGAAAAUGCGUAGAUAUCCGGAGGAAUACCAAAGGCGAAGGCAGUGUCCUGGGAAGUACCUGACGCUGAGGCGCGAAAGCCAGGGGAGCGAACAGG